UGAACCAAGCUGUCGGAGAUGGGGGCGGCCAUUUUGUGCCGUUCUGAUGAUUCAGUGUCUAAGACAGACAGACACGCUGAGACUGCUGACUUGGCCAGUGUUCAGAUUAGCACAUUGAAGUGGCUGUCUGUUUAUUAAUAACAACCCGCUGUGUAAGUCAUGUAAUCUUUAACAAACCAAAAAAGUUGGGAAACUAUUUAUUAAAAUGGUGAAAAAACGAGAGUCUGGGUGUAUAUUGCUGCUACAAAUGUCUAGUAAAUGUCUAUUAAUAAAGAAAAAAAAAUGUGACGCUAGAAGGAGUAUGGCUUAAGCUAUACAUAUACACCCUCGCUGCAUCUCUCAUCUCCUGGUGUAGAAAGAAUUUUAUACUAAACACUGACAACAAUACCAUUGUAUGGUUCCAGCUAGGCUUGGCAAAUUAACCAGGAGACUUUGUCCUUAUGAGGAUAUUGUGUUUACACGCAGGCUAACUACACUGACGAGUUAGACUUCUUGUCUACGUAUCAAAAAUGGUCUAAAACAGGUGUGUCCAUUGUUUUUUGGAAAGAAUCUGUGUGUGUGUGCAGGUUUUAUUCCAAUCAAGCAGAAGCCACAACCCGAGUCUACUAAAAGCCAUUAUCGUCUCAUUAAACAGGUGGAAUCAGGUGUGGCUUCUGCUCAAAUGGUAUGAAAACCUGCAUCCACACCGACCCUUUGCGGAAAAGAUUGGACUCCCUGGUCUAAUCCAUCAGUUGGGACAAGGUUAUAAUCUCAGAAUAAUUAAAAUUCAUUUUUCUGGCUAGAAUCUGUUCUCACAAAAUUCUUCAGUAGUGAAUUUCUCUUUUCAAAAGUCUUUUGUGUGGUGGAUUUAAAAGCUAGCAUCCUAUUUCUAUACAACAGCGUAAUGUUUCAGAUUCCGUUUGAUUUAAUUACUCGUAUUAAAAUGUUCAUAUUGAUGUGCACCCACAUCUCUUAAUAUUUAAGUAAAAUCGUCGCCUUCCAAAUACACACUUUUGUGUAUUUUAACACCAAGUGAGAGAUACCACUUACAUUACGAUCAUAUUGUUUUUCUUAAGACCAUUUCAAGUAAUCUGUUAGUAGUCAGUACCUGAGAAACUCUAGACAAACUCCUCCUACUGUCACAACUAACAGUAUACAGGUUACUGAUACAGUCCUAUGGUCAAGUGCCAAAUUAAAACAGAUAUACAGUUUGUCACUUAAAGACCUAUUGUAAAAGACAGGUGCAGCAUCAUGAAAUGUGUCAUAGCACUACAUUAACUCCAUCACUUUUCAAAGAAUGUUUUGUGGACAGCUCUUUCAGCUAUUUAUAAAAGUAGAAAUAUUAUAUAAAGACUGUUGACUUGUGUACGUCUUCAUUAUCAAGCUAUGUGUAUAAUCUUAAAGUCCAUUGCAGUUACACUAGAUUCAAACACUACAAAAUGUAACCACAAAGUGCUCGAAAACGCUUUUAUUGUGUAAUAAAUUGCACUCUGUUUUGUAGGGAAUAUACAGUGGGGUCUAGUAGUCUGUGACCGUAGUGAUGUAGAAAUAUUCAAAUUCUGCUGUGUUUAUAGGUCUCAAUUUAUGUGUGAUAAAACGUGAUAUUGAGCAUGAUAUUGAACUGCUUUGUACAAAGGAUCGGAUGUUCCUCGUGCCUUAUCUGUUAAUCUGAAGCAUGAGUUCAGAUGACAAGCCGAUGGAUUUGAUCUAGAAUGAAUCAUAAGGUUUUGUACAAACUUGUGGAGUCGAUGCCAGCUAAAGUAAAUGCUGACAUUAAAUCAAAAGGGAGACGAACCAAAUACUAAAAAACUCUGAAAUUCAUUUAAACGCAAGUUGUUUUCAGCAAUAAGAUUUCUAAUUGAAAUUGUUGUAUUAAAAUAACUGUAUUAAAAGAAUGCAAAAUAGAUGUAGGUUUCACUACCGCGCUCUCAGACAUUUGGACUCCACUGUAUCUGUAUCUUUUCUGAACUUCUGACAAAUAACAGAAUUAUUUGACAAUGUGUUUAACACCCCUGCUCUAAAGUCUUGAGAUGCAUCAUUAAAAACACACCACAUCGCCCUAAAGGCUGUUUACCAAGUAAUCAGUGUUUGCUCAAAUAUACGUGAAUGUUUCAGAAUGGAUGGUGAUUCAUAUUUUCUGUUCAAACAGCGUGAAAGGGUGAUAAAUGGGUAAAGGAGUAGGCAAGAAAAAGUGCCUCACAAUUGCUGCUAAGUUUAAUGCUGCUCUGCCACACCAGCAGGUUGACUCAGGAAUGGGUAGGAAAAGCAGGAGAAUGGAUAGAGAAAGAGAGAGUGCACGUCACAAUAAAGGGCGUGUGCUGUCCUCUCUGUGCGCUCAUACACACUCAAGCCAAGUGUGUGCGUUCUCACUCGUGUGCUCCUUCAUGAGGCCUGGUCCAUGUCUAAGUUGAAAAACAGACUGACUCAAGUGUCAGGAACAAAACAAGUUGGCCAUCCUCACAUACUAAGAGAGGGGGAGAGCGAAAUUAUUGAAUGAGAUUAUGAGAAAAUAGUGAGUGGUUGGUCAUCAGCCUCCUGCUCUCGUUCUCUCUCCCUCCAUCUUGGUUUGUUGUUCGUCACAAAAGAGGGAUGGAUAUAGUGUGGAAGCUCUUCGCAUGGAGCAGCUCCUUCGUAAAAUUGUGCCAAAGGUUGUGUUUUUGCUGGAAAAUGAAAUGACCUGUUUGUAUUUAUAUUGUUAAUAACAAAAAAAAAUCUGAAAAUUAGACUCCUAACUUUACCUUCAUGGAUUAAUGUAAUUGUGCUCCAGUGACCUCCUGUCUGAUUCUCUGUAAACAGUGAACACACACACACACACACACACACACACACACAGAGAGAGAGUCCAUCAUUAGAGGAGAACUGUUGGUACAUGUAUUUUGUACUGAAUUAUCUGCCUGAACAAAGAGUGUAAGUGGAGGUGGAAGCUCAAUGGAGGGUUUUAUUUUUUAUUUUAUUAUUUAUUUAUUUAUUUUAUUAUAUUAAACCAAUGCAAAAAACUACUGUGUCCUCGCUGCAUGACAGCAUGAGAGGUGCUUUACAAUGGAACAAAAUGGAAAGUGCAAUGCUUUAAUUGGACCUCUUUUGGAGAUUUUUUUAUUUAUUUAGUUUUGUAAAGCUUUUAACCAAUUCAUGUUUCUAGUUUGUUGUGUGUAAAAGCCACCAUUGAAUUUUAAUAUGUGGGGAAUAUUUUGAACAAGAUCUACGUGGGGAAAUCUCAAUGAGAUUGAUUAAUGUUUUUUUUUUUUUUUUUUUUUUUUUUUUAAAAUUUAUUUUCUUUAUUUUUUAAGAACAGCAAUUCUAAAAGUAAACAAGGAUUUUAUUCUCUUACAUGGUUUGUGAAUUAAGGACAAAGACAUUUCCUUGUGCUCUUAUUCUAAGUUAGAUUUAUCACUGGUUAUUUGCUAAUGCCUUAUUUGAUGUCUACUACAGUUGCUUGUUGCAGACAGCGUUGAUAAAUGAAUAAGUGAUACGUGGGGGGUGUUUGUUUUCUAAAUUAAUGCUUGAAAAUCACAUUCAACCUCCUUGUAGUUAUCCAGUUAUUAAAGUCUUCUUUAUUCUUCUUGUUCCUUCAUCAAUAAACUAAUUGUAUUAGAAUCAUAUUGAA